rnacentral:rRNA from 1 species
CGAGGACGAACGCUGGCGGCGUGCUUAACACAUGCAAGUCGAACGGAAAGGCCCUGCUUUUGUGGGGUGCUCGAGUGGCGAACGGGUGAGUAACACGUGAGUAACCUGCCCUUGACUUUGGGAUAACUUCAGGAAACUGGGGCUAAUACCGGAUAGGAGCUCCUGCUGCAUGGUGGGGGUUGGAAAGUUUCGGCGGUUGGGGAUGGACUCGCGGCUUAUCAGCUUGUUGGUGGGGUAGUGGCUUACCAAGGCUUUGACGGGUAGCCGGCCUGAGAGGGUGACCGGCCACAUUGGGACUGAGAUACGGCCCAGACUCCUACGGGAGGCAGCAGUGGGGAAUAUUGCACAAUGGGCGGAAGCCUGAUGCAGCAACGCCGCGUGCGGGAUGACGGCCUUCGGGUUGUAAACCGCUUUCGCCUGUGACGAAGCGUGAGUGACGGUAAUGGGUAAAGAAGCACCGGCUAACUACGUG